UUUUUUUUAGGGAGAAUUUUCUCCUAUCUCUUUAAAAAUGUAAAAAGUAAAUAUCUUAAUUAAUUACUAAAUGAAAAUGGUAGUCAGUCUGUGAAAGUUUCCUCCUUUUUUAGUUUUCUUCAUAUGUUAAAAUACCACAGUCAUUAGUAAAACAGAAAUGUAAAAUCUUCAAAUUUGCGACCAAAUCUGCUUUAAAAAGGGGUCCCAGCUUUACCACUACCAGAAUUUCAACUACAGGCCAUCCAGACUUCAACUUUAGAUCAACUGCCUUCCUGGUUCCUAUAGCUCUAAAUUCACAUGAGAGCUCCGUUUCAAGUCACCUACAAUUCGCCACCUGGAUUAUGAGCAAAUUACAAGAAGGAUUAGUAAUCCAGCAGAUCCAGCCCAAAAUCAGAAGAAGAUAGGGAUUUCUGGGGGAAGUUAAUUUGUGCGCAAAAUGAAAUAAUACAUGAAAAUUAUAUGAGUGUGAAAAGUUUCAAAUGAAUACAUCGAUAAUCUAAAAUAAAUACAAGUGUUUGGGGCCCCUCACUUCUGCGAUAUGUACAUACAGGUAUUUGUAGAAUUUAAUAUUUAUUAAUUUUUGAAAUU